rnacentral:misc_RNA from 1 species
UUUCCGUAGGUGAACCUGCGGAAGGAUCAUUCAUAAUAAAGUGUUUUAUGGCACUUUUUAAAAAUCCAUAUCCACCUUGUGUGCAAUGUUAGAUCUCGUCAAUCUUGGCGAGAUUUUUAUACAUCAACUCAUUUUUUAACUAAUUUGUCUGAAAAAUAUUAUGUAUACUUAAUUCAAAAUACAACUUUCAACAACGGAUCUCUUGGCUCUC